UACGUAGGGGGCAAGCGUUGUCCGGAUUUAUUGGGCGUAAAGAGCGUGUAGGCGGCUUUACAGGUCCGUUGUGAAAACUCGAGGCUCAACCUCGAGACGCCGGUGGAAACCGUAAGGCUAGAGUCCGGAAGAGGAGAGUGGAAUUCCUGGUGUAGCGGUGAAAUGCGCAGAUAUCAGGAAGAACACCCGUGGCGAAGGCGGCUCUCUGGGACGGUACUGACGGCUGAGACGCGAAAGCGUGGGGAGCGAACAGG
rnacentral:rRNA from 1 species